rnacentral:rRNA from 1 species
GACGAACGCUGGCGGCGUGCUUAACACAUGCAAGUCGAACGGAAAGGCCCUGCUUUUGUGGGGUGCUCGAGUGGCGAACGGGUGAGUAACACGUGAGUAACCUGCCCUUGACUUUGGGAUAACUUCAGGAAACUGGGGCUAAUACCGGAUAGGAGCUCCUGCUGCAUGGUGGGGGUUGGAAAGUUUCGGCGGUUGGGGAUGGACUCGCGGCUUAUCAGCUUGUUGGUGGGGUAGUGGCUUACCAAGGCUUUGACGGGUAGCCGGCCUGAGAGGGUGACCGGCCACAUUGGUACUGAGAUACAGCCCAGACUCCUACGGGAGGCAGCAGUGGGGAAUAUUGCACAAUGGGCGGAAGCCUGAUGCAGCAACGCCGCGUGCGGGAUGACGGCCUUCGGGUUGUAAACCGCUUUCGCCUGUGACGAAGCGUGAGUGACGGUAAUGGGUAAAGAAGCACCGGCUAACUACGUG